rnacentral:rRNA from 1 species
UGCAGUCGAGCGGUAGCACAGAGGAGCUUGCUCCUUGGGUGACGAGCGGCGGACGGGUGAGUAAAGUCUGGGGAUCUGCCUGAUGGAGGGGGAUAACUACUGGAAACGGUAGCUAAUACCGCAUGACGUCUUCGGACCAAAGUGGGGGACCUUCGGGCCUCACGCCAUGAGAUGAACCCAGAUGGGAUUAGCUGGUAGGUGAGGUAACGGCUCACCUAGGCGACGAUCCCUAGCUGGUCUGAGAGGAUGACCAGCCACACUGGAACUGAGACACGGUCCAGACUCCUACGGGAGGCAGCAGUGGGGAAUAUUGCACAAUGGGGGAAACCCUGAUGCAGCCAUGCCGCGUGUGUGAAGAAGGCCUUCGGGUUGUAAAGCACUUUCAGCGGGGAGGAAGGCAAUAAACUUAAUAAGUUUGUUGAUUGACGUUACCCGCAGAAGAAGCACCGGCUAACUCCGUGCCAGCAGCCGCGGUAAUACGGAGGGUGCAAGCGUUAAUCGGAAUGACUGGGCGUAAAGCGCACGCAGGCGGUCUGUUAAGUUGGAUGUGAAAUCCCCGGGCUCAACCCGGGAACAGCAUUCAAAACUGACAGGCUAGAGUCUCGUAGAGGGGGGUAGAAUUCCAGGUGUAGCGGUGAAAUGCGUAGAGAUCUGGAGGAAUACCGGUGGCGAAGGCGGCCCCCUGGACGAAGACUGACGCUCAGGUGCGAAAGCGUGGGGAGCAAACAGGAUUAGAUACCCUGGUAGUCCACGCCGUAAACGAUGUCGACUUGGAGGCUGUGGUCUUGAACCGUGGCUUCCGGAGCUAACGCGUUAAGUCGACCGCCUGGGGAGUACGGCCGCAAGGUUAAAACUCAAAUGAAUUGACGGGGGCCCGCACAAGCGGUGGAGCAUGUGGUUUAAUUCGAUGCAACGCGAAGAACCUUACCUACUCUUGACAUCCAGAGAAGACUGUAGAGAUACGGUUGUGCCUUCGGGAGCUCUGAGACAGGUGCUGCAUGGCUGUCGUCAGCUCGUGUUGUGAAAUGUUGGGUUAAGUCCCGCAACGAGCGCAACCCUUAUCCUUUGUUGCCAGCGAUUCGGUCGGGAACUCAAAGGAGACUGCCGGUGAUAAACCGGAGGAAGGUGGGGAUGACGUCAAGUCAUCAUGGCCCUUACGAGUAGGGCUACACACGUGCUACAAUGGCGCAUACAAAGAGAAGCGAGCCUGCGAGGGUAAGCGGACCUCAUAAAGUGCGUCGUAGUCCGGAUUGGAGUCUGCAACUCGACUCCAUGAAGUCGGAAUCGCUAGUAAUCGUAGAUCAGAAUGCUACGGUGAAUACGUUCCCGGGCCUUGUACACACCGCCCGUCACACCAUGGGAGUGGGUUGCAAAAGAAGUAGGUAGC